rnacentral:rRNA from 1 species
UACAGAGGUCUCAAGCGUUGUUCGGAUUCAUUGGGCGUAAAGGGUGCGUAGGCGGCGCGGUAAGUCGGGUGUGAAAUCUCGGAGCUUAACUCCGAAACUGCAUUCGAUACUGCCGUGCUUGAGGACUGGAGAGGGGACUGGAAUUUACGGUGUAGCGGUGAAAUGCGUAGAUAUCGUAAGGAAGACCAGUGGCGAAGGCGGGUCUCUGGACAGCUCCUGACGCUGAGGCACGAAGGCCAGGGGAGCAAACGGG